rnacentral:pre_miRNA from 14 species
AUGGCGAGCCCCAGGAAACACCGAUCCUGGACGAGCCCCCAAAUGAAAGAUCCCACGCAGAGAGACCCUUAUUCAAGUCUUGGGAAAUCGCGGACCCCAGACACAGGUGAGGUG